rnacentral:misc_RNA from 1 species
GAUGAAGAACGCAGUGAAAUGCGAUACUUGGUGUGAAUUGCAGAAUCCCGUGAACCAUCGAGUCUUUGAACGCAAGUUGCGCCCGAAGCCAUUAGGCCGAGGGCACGCCUGCCUGGGCGUCACACGUCGUUGCCCCCCCAUCUACUCCUUCGGGAUUGCGGGGGGCGGAUGAUGGCCUCCCGUGCGCCUCGCCGCGCGGUUGGCAUAAAUGCCAAGUCCUCGGCGACGCACGCCACGACAAUCGGUGGUUGCGAAACCUCGGUUGCCCGUCGUGUGCGGUCGUCGCGCAUCGAGGGCUCGAAAAAAUUGCCGGGUUCCGGCUCGGUUUUCAACGCGACCCCAGGUCAGGCGGGGUUACCCGCUGAAUUUAAGCAUAUCAAUAAGCGGAGGA